rnacentral:rRNA from 1 species
CGGGGUGCACCAGGCGCGAAAACUUUGCAAUACACGAAAGUGUGACAGGGUCAUCCCGAGUGCCGACCGCUGAGGUUGGCUUUUACCCAGUCUAGAAAGCUGGGGGAAUAAGGAGAGGGCAAGUCUGGUGUCAGCCGCCGCGGUAAUACCAGCUCUCCGAGUGGUGUGGACGUUUAUUGGGCCUAAAGCAUCCGUAGCUGGCUGAACAAGUCCCCUGUUAAACCCACCGAUUUAAUCGUUGGUCUGCGGGGGAUACUGCUCGGCUAGGGGACGAGAGAGGCAGACGGUAUCCCCGGGGUAGGGGUGAAAUCCUAUAAUCCCGAGAAGACCACCAGUGGCGAAGGCUGUCUGCUAGAACGCGCCCGACGGUGAGGGAUGAAAGCUGGGGGAGUGAACCGGAUUAGAUACCCGGGUAGUCCCAGCUGUAAACGAUGCAGACUAGGUGUUUGGACGGCCACGUGCCGUUCUAGUGCCGCAGGGAAGCUGUUAAGUCUGCCGCCUGGGGAGUACAAUCGCAAGAUUGAAACUUAAAGGAAUUGGCGGGGGAGCACAAG